AAUCCGGUUGAUCCUGCCGGACCUGACUGCUAUCGGAUUGAUACUAAGCCAUGCGAGUCAUUGUAGCAAUACAAGGCAGACGGCUCAGUAACGCGUAGUCAACCUACCCUAUGGACGGGAAU
rnacentral:rRNA from 1 species